AUUGAACGCUGGCGGCAGGCCUAACACAUGCAAGUCGAACGCGUGGCGGGCGGGUGAGUAAUGUGUGGGAGACUGUCCGAUGGAGGGGGAUAUCAAUUCGAAACGCUAGCUAUUACCGCAUACCCCCGCAUGUGUCCACAUGGGAGUAGCUAGUAGGUGGGGUAACGGCUCACCUAGGCGACGAUCCCUAGCUGGUCUGAGAGGAUGACCAGCCAAACUGGAACUGAGACACGGUCCAGACUCCUACGGGAGGCAGCAGUGGGGAAUAUUGCACAAUGGGCGCAAGCCUGAUGCAGCCAUGCCGCGUGUAUGAAGAAGGCCUUCGGGUUGUAAAGUACUUUCAGCGGGGAGGCGUUACUCGCAGAAGAAGCACCGGCUAACUCCGUGCCAGCAGCCGCGGUAAUUC
rnacentral:rRNA from 1 species